rnacentral:lncRNA from 1 species
UGAAGUAAUUGUGUAACUGGUUCCUUAAACUGAGGGCAAGCAAUCCAAAUAUAAUCUAGGUUCCAUCUCAAAUAGAAUCAUUUAACCGGAUCACAUAAACCAUACAUUUAGAAAAUAAACUUAAGAAUAUGGAAAAAACUUUGUUUUCCCAAACAAAAUCAUAAAUCCAAGAUCUGCAACCAACAGUAGGGAGAAGCAAAUGCCUAACAAGCUUCACUCUAAGAGGUACGAGCAGCAAACAGACCGAGCAAGCUGUUGUUGUACAAUUAAAAAGAUAAGACCUUGCAACUGUUAUGGUGAAACAGAGGCAGGUGGAGACGACAGAUCUGAUUCGCCGAACAUGUCCGGAGGAUCAGGAGGGUCGGGGGCAGGGAUCCCACCAAGCAGAUCUAGAGGAAGAGCAGAUGGCGGUGUUCAGGAGGUGGGGGAAGGAACAAUAAUGAUUCUGAAACUGGAGAAGUCACCGUUAACCCCAUAGAAGAAAGGAAGAGGAGGGAGAAGAGAGAGACGUAAGAGAGAGAGUUGGGUAGAGGUAGAUAUGCAGGGGUACAUUUGGGUUUAUAGAAUUUGCACAGUGACUUAUCCAUCUAGUUAAUUAUAUUUUCUUUCAUAGCCAUCUAGUUCAAAUUCC